UGAAUAAAUAUAAACUACCAUUUUUUUAGAGU
rnacentral:piRNA from 1 species